rnacentral:rRNA from 1 species
GUUGNCGGAUUUUGGGCGUAAAGCGCGCGCAGNGGUUUCUUAGUCUGAUGUGAAAGCCCACGGCUCAACCGUGGAGGGUCAUUGGAAACUGGGAAACUUGAGUGCAGAAGAGGAAAGUGGAAUUCCANGUGUAGCGGUGAAAUGCGUAGAGAUGUGGAGGAACACCAGUGGCGAAGGCGACUUUCUGGUCUGUAACUGACNCUGAGGCGCGAAAGCGUGGGGAGCAAACAGGAUUAGAUACCCUGGUAGUCCACGCCGUAAACGAUGAGUGCUAAGUGUUAGAGGGUUUCCGCCCUUUAGUGCUGNAGNUAACGCAUUAAGCACUCCGCCUGGGGAGUACGGNCGCAAGGACUGAAACUC